rnacentral:rRNA from 1 species
UACAGAGGGUGCAAGCGUUGUUCGGAAUUACUGGGCGUAAAGCGCGUGUAGGCGGUUUGGUAAGUCGAUCGUGAAAGCCCUUGGCUUAACCAAGGAACUGCGCCCGAAACUGGCGAGCUUGAGUGCGGGAGAGGGAAGCGGAAUUCCUGGUGUAGAGGUGAAAUUCGUAGAUAUCAGGAGGAACACCGGUGGCGAAAGCGGCUUCCUGGCCCGACACUGACGCUCAUGUACGAAAGCGUGGGGAGCAAACAGG